rnacentral:rRNA from 1 species
GGACAUUACCGAGUUUACAACUCCCAAACCCCUGUGAACAUACCUAUACGUUGCCUCGGCGGAUCAGCCCGCGCCCUGUAACAAGGGACGGCCCGCCCGAGGACCCUAAACUCUGUUUUUAGUGGAACUUCUGAGUAAAACAAACAAAUAAAUCAAAACUUUCAACAACGGAUCUCUUGGUUCUGGCAUCGAUGAAGAACGCAGCAAAAUGCGAUAAGUAAUGUGAAUUGCAGAAUUCAGUGAAUCAUCGAAUCUUUGAACGCACAUUGCGCCCGCCAGUAUUCUGGCGGGCAUGCCUGUUCGAGCGUCAUUUCAACCCUCAAGCUCAGCUUGGUGUUGGGACUCGCGGUAACCCGCGUUCCCCAAAUCGAUUGGCGGUCACGUCGAGCUUCCAUAGCGUAGUAAUCAUACACCUCGUUACUGGUAAUCGUCGCGGCCACGCCGUAAAACCCCAACUUCUGAAUGUUGACCUCGGAUCAGGUAGGAAUACCCGCUGAACUUAAGCAUAUCAAUAAGCGGAGGGAAAAAACCAACCAAA